rnacentral:lncRNA from 13 species
CUUCACUGAAUACUAAACCCACUCCGUAGUCUGUCACACCCUGAUCUGUUACACCUGUCUUUGUGCUUGUCUCCACCCCCUCCAGGUGUCACCCAUCAGCCCCAUUAUCCCCUGUGUAUUUAUACCUGUUCUCUGUUUGCAUGUUGCCAGUUCAUCUUGUCUUGUCAAAUCAAAUGUUAUUGGUCACAUACACAUGGUCAGCAGAUAUUAAUACAAGAGGAGCGAAAUGCUUGUGCUUCUAGUUCCGACAGUGUAGUAAUAUCUAACAAUUAAUCUAACAGUUCCCCAACAACUACCUAAUACACACAAAUCUAAAGGGAUGAAUAAGAAUAUGUACAUAUAAAUAUAUGGAUGAGCGAUAGGCAAGGUGCAAUAGAUGGUAUAAGGUACAGUAUAUAUAUGAGAUGGGUAAUGUAAGAUAUGUUAACAUUUUUAAAGAGGCAUUGUUUAAAGUGACUAGUGAUCCAUUUAUUAAAGUGGCCAGUGAUUUGAGUUUCUAUGUAGGCAGCAGCCUCUCUGAGUUAGUGAUUACUGUUUAGCAGUCUGAUAGCCUUGAGACAGAAGCUGUUUUCCAGUCUCUCGGUCCCAGCUUUGAUGCACCUGUACUGACCUCGACUUCUGGAUGGUAGCGGGGUGAACAGGCAGUGGGUCGGGUGGUUGUUGUCCUUGAUGAUAUUCUUGGCCUUCCUGUGACAUUGUGCGCUGUAAGUUGCCCCCGGUGAUGUGUUUUGCAGAGCGCACCACCCUCUGGGCAGCCUUGCGGUUGAGGGUGGUGCAGUUGCUGUACCAGGCGGUGAUACAGCCCGACAGGAUGCUCUCAUUGUGCAUCUGUAAAGGUUUGUCAGGGUUUUAGGUGACAAGCUACAUUUCUUCAGCCUCCUGAGGUUGAAGAGACGCUGUUAAUGUCAUGUACUGUCAUGUUGUGUCUUGUUUCUGUCCUUUCUCUUCACCCUGUCUCCCUCUGCUGGUCGUGUUAGGUUACCUUUUCUCUUCACCCUGUCUCCCUCUGCUGGUCGUGUUAGGUUACCUUUUCUCCCCCUCUUUCCCCCAGCUGUGCCUUGUCUCCUCCUAACUACCUCGUCACCCCUUUUCCCACCUGUUCCCUUUUUCCCUCUGAUUAGUCCUCUAUAUCUCUCUCUGUUUCUGCUCCUGUCUUUGUCGGAUUCUUGUUUGUGUUAUUCAUGCCUGAACCAGACUAUCGUCAUGUUUGCUGCAACCUUGUCCUGUCCUGUCGGAAUCUGCCGGUCCAUCUGAGCCUACGUAUGUUUUGCUAUUAAAGAAGCCCUGUUUACGUUAGUUCGCUUUUGGGUCCUCAUUCACGCACCUGACAGUUAAACCUUCUUCACCACGCUGUCUGUGUGGGUG